CCGNUCAGGUAGNUGGGCGANGCNACGGCUCACCNAGCCNAUANCCGGUACGGGCCGUGGGAGCGGAGCNNGGAGAUGGNUACUGAGACAAGGGCCCAGGCCCUACGGGGCGCAGCAGUUGCGAAAACUUGUCAAUGCACGAAAGUGUGAACGGGCUACCCCGAGUGCNGUCCGCUGAGGAUGGCUUUUCUCUGCUGUAAGAAGGCGGAGGNAUAAGGAGAGGGCAAGUCUGGUGUCAGCCGCCGCGGUAAUACCAGCUCUCCGAGUGGUAGGGAUGAUUAUUGGGCCUAAAGCGUUCGUAGCCGGCCUUCCAAGUCUUUCGUUAAAUCCAGCGAUUCAAUCGUUGGACUGCGGGAGAUACUGUUAGGCUAGGGGGCGGGAGAAGCCGACGGUAUUUCCGGGGUAGGGGUAAAAUCCUAUAAUCCCGGGAAGACCACCAGUGGCGUAGGCGGUCGGCUAGCACGCGCUCGACGGUGAGGGACGAAAGCUGGGGGAGCGAACCGGAUUAGAUACCCGGGUAGUCCCAGCUGUAAACGAUGCGGGCUAGGUGUUGGAGCGGCUACGAGCCGCUUCAGUGCCGCAGGGAAGCCAUUAAGCCCGCCGCCUGGGGAGUACGGCCGCAAGGCUGAAACUUAAAGGAAUUGGCGGGGGAGCAC
rnacentral:rRNA from 1 species